rnacentral:rRNA from 1 species
GUGUCAGCAGCCGCGGUAAAACGUAGGAGGCGAGCGUUAUCCGGAUUUACUGGGCGUAAAGCGCGCGUAGGCGGUUGGGUAAGUCUGACGUGAAAGCCCCUGGCUCAACUGGGGGAGGUCGUUGGAUACUGCCCGGCUUGAGGGUGAUAGAGGAGAGUGGAAUUCCCGGUGUAGCGGUGGAAUGCGUAGAGAUCGGGAGGAACACCAGUGGCGAAAGCGACUCUCUGGCUCACUCCUGACGCUGAGUGCGCGAAAGCGUGGGGAGCAAACGGGAUUAGAUACCCCGGUAGUCCACGCCCUAAACGAUGAGGGCUGGGUGUCGGCAGGGUUUCCUGUCGGUGCCGAAGCUAACGCGUUAAGCCCUCCGCCUGGGGACUACGAACGCAAGUUUAAA